UACGGAGGGUGCAAGCGUUGCUCGGAAUUAUUGGGCGUAAAGGGUAGGUAGGUGGUCUCAUUUGUCUGGGGUGAAAGCCUUGAGCUUAACUCAAGAAGUGCCCCAGAAACGGUGAGACUGGAGUCCUGGAGAGGGUCGUGGAAUUCCCGGUGUAGCGGUGAAAUGCGUAGAGAUCGGGAGGAACACCAGAGGCGAAAGCGGCGACCUGGACAGGCACUGACACUCAACUACGAAAGCGUGGGGAGCAAACAGG
rnacentral:rRNA from 1 species